CCUACGGGAGGCAGCAGUGGGGAAUAUUGGACAAUGGGCGAAAGCCUGAUCCAGCCAUGCCGCGUGUGUGAAGAAGGCCUUCGGGUUGUAAAGCACUUUCAGUGGGGAAGAAAGCCUUGGGGCUAAUACCCUCGAGGAAGGACAUCACCCACAGAAGAAGCACCGGCUAACUCCGUGCCAGCAGCCGCGGUAAUACGGAGGGUGCGAGCGUUAAUCGGAAUUACUGGGCGUAAAGCGCGCGUAGGCGGUCUGAUAAGCCGGUUGUGAAAGCCCCGGGCUCAACCUGGGAACGGCAGCCGGAACUGUCAGGCUAGAGUGCAGGAGAGGAAGGUAGAAUUCCCGGUGUAGCGGUGAAAUGCGUAGAGAUCGGGAGGAAUACCAGUGGCGAAGGCGGCCUUCUGGACUGACACUGACGCUGAGGUGCGAAAGCGUGGGUAGCAAACAGGAUUAGAUACCCUGUAGUC
rnacentral:rRNA from 1 species